UAGAGUGAUAUUAACUCAGUUACGUUGAGGUACACCUUUUUAGGCACUCUAU
rnacentral:tRNA from 1 species